ACACUUUCCCUUUUCAUUACUUGAGAAUUCUGAAAGUCCCUUUCCAGUUUUCUCAUUGACAUGUGGAGUGCUCUCAGCAUAUCUUUCAAGGUGACCAUGCCUGUGCCACAUACCAGGCAAUCUCCUGCCUGGAGCAAUGCUGAGGUGCUGGACCUCCUCAGUGUUUGGUGAAAGGAGACUGUCCAAUCACAGCUGUGCUCCAGUCAUUGGAAUUAUGACACCUGUGGGCUAAUGUCAAGAUGCAUGACUGAAAGGGACCAUGACCAAGACGCACUGCAGUGCAGGGUCAAAGUGUAGGAGCUGUGAAACACCUACCAAAGGUACAGGAGGCAAACCUCCACUCCAGUGUUGUGCUCAUGACCUGCUGGCUUUAAACAGAGUUGAAUGACAUAUUUGGAGGUGACCCCAAACUCCACCCCAAAGACUCCUGUGGAUACUUCAGAGCCUCAGAGGCCAUUCCAGAGUGGAGUGAGCCAGGAGGAGGAAAUUGUGCACUGAAGUGCCAAGGGGGAUCCAGAGACAGAGGAUGAAUCAGCAUCCACAGAUACUUGCAAUCAGGAACUAUUUUCUGUCUCAGAAGAGGCCGCUAGACAGUUGCAGAGGUCACAGGCUGGGGAAACGCAAACAGCAGAGGAUGCCUCAGGCACAGAACCUUGUACAGUACCUUGGAUUCCACAUCUGGGAACAAUAAUUGUGACCUGCCUCCUACCAGAGAGGGGAUCUGAUGCUUAAUGAAUUAAGGUGCAGUAUAGUUAGGGAGUCAGCAAACAGCAACACAAGAAACGGUGAUGCCUUCUCACCCAGGGCCCUCCCAGCAAAAGCAAUCUCCUACCUGUUGAGCCAGACAAGAGAGGGAGCUGCUUCUUAAAAUGUUUUCCAUUUUCCCUCCCCCAUAUCUUCUGCCACGAAAACAAGUGAUUGCUUGUGAGCUAAUCUUGUGCAGAGACUUCAUUAAAUAAAUACAACUAGUACUAGGUAGC